rnacentral:rRNA from 2 species
CCUGGCGGUCUUAGCGCGGUGGUCCCACCUGACCCCAUGCCGAACUCAGAAGUGAAACGCCGUAGCGCCGAUGGUAGUGUGGGGUCUCCCCAUGCGAGAGUAGGGAACUGCCAGGC